rnacentral:rRNA from 1 species
ACUCCUACGGGAGGCAGCAGUGGGGAAUAUUGGACAAUGGGGGCAAGCCUGAUCCAGCAAUGCCGCGUGAAUGAUGAAGGCCUUCGGGUUGUAAAGCUCUUUUGGCGGGGACGAUGAUGACAGUACCCGCAGAAUAAGCCCCGGCUAACUCCGUGCCAGCAGCCGCGGUAAU